CUUAGUAAAAGUUGUCCUUGGAAAACAUUGUAAAUAAAAUAAAGUUUUAUAAAGGCUCCAAAAACAUUCCACCUUUCCCCCUGAGGCUACAGUGACUAUCCUGAUUUUAAAAUCCCUCUUCUUGUUCCUUCUGAGUUUUCCCAUUUCGUGCUCCCUGGGAGUUUCUCUGUAAAAUGAGCCUGUGGAAAAUGGGUAAUGAGGAAAUCAUUGCCUUAAUUGAAGGUCACUUCUACAAAGAUCCAGAAGGAGGGGCCCUAACAACUGAGGACAUCAAUUUGAAGAAAAGGGUCAGAGGAAACAGGUUUUAUCAUUGGGGCCAGGGAUGGCUUCGUGGUCAAGAGGGGAGCAGCAGGGAGCCUGGGCUGCCUCCUACAGCCUCCUCUCUUUCCCCUUCUGAAAAGCAGUUGAAAACAUCUUUGCUUGCUGCUCAGAGGGAAUUCAUCCAUUUAACAUAAAAUUACACAGGAAUUCCCCAAAUAGGACAUAAAACAUUUCCUAUGAUGUCAAAGGAGUAGUUUCUACAGAUGGCAAGCUCAAGAAAUAGCAGCAAAUUCUCGAC
rnacentral:lncRNA from 1 species